GGAGGAAGGAGGAGGAGACAAGCCGGCCGGCCCGCCGACCCCGCGCUCGGCUGAGGGUGAAGGCCGCCCGCCCGCGCGUGAGGAAAGCGGCAGCACCGGGGAGGCGGCAGGGCGGGGCCCAGCUCGGCGAUUGGUGAUGGAGCCAGUGGCUGCCUUGCGUGGCUGAAGCGAAAGAGGAGGAGAAACUGAUUGGUACAAAUAGUUUAUAAGCCAAGAGGAGUCUGGGGAGAAAGCAUGUCAAAGCAGCAGAACAAUAUGUGAAUUGCCUCCCCAAAUCUGUGCCAGAAUGGAAGAAAUGCCAUAUCAAGGCAUAUGGUCCUCUUUCCCUCCCCAUUUUAUUCUUGUGAAGUAGGUUAGGCGGACAGUUGGUGACUGGUCCUAGAUCACCUAUUGAGCUUCACUAGGAGUAGGCAACCUAAGGCCCAGGGGCCGGAUGCAGCCCAAUCGCCUUCUCAAUCCGGCCCACGGACGGUCCGGGAAUCAGCGUGUUUUUACAUGAGUAGAAUGUGUGCUUUUAUUUAAAAUGCAUCUCUGGGUUAUUUGUGGGGCUUGGGAUUCAUUCCUUCCCCCCCCCAAAAAAAAUAUAUAGUCCAGCCCCCCACAUGGUCUGGUGGACCAGCCCACGGCUGAAAAAGGUUGCUGACCCCUGAGUUCCACAGCUGAAUGAGGAUUUGAACUUGGGUCUCCCUGGUCCUUGACAUACACUCUGAUCACUACACCACCUUCAUGUUAACUUUGCAAAUGUAGAUUUAAAAGGUAGUAUGGGAUAGAGCAGUGCAGGAGCUGUAGAACCAUCAGCCGCCUCCAAGAGAAACCAGUGUAGUGCAGUGUUAGACUAGGACCUGGCAGAUUCAGCCGUGAAAGUCGUUUGGAUAACUUUGGAGCAGUCUCCGCCUAGCCUGCUUCACAUCGUUGUUGUGGUUUAGAGCAGAGCUCCUUGGAAGAACAGUGAGAGAUAAAUGCAAGAGUAAAUAAAUAAAUGUUCUGCACCAAGUUCCCAGGAGUCUCCCAGCACUAGUUCAGCACACUGGUUAAGCCUACUACCAAGCCUUAAUGCAGAGCUUUCCAAACUGUGUGUCACGACACAUUAGUGUGUCGGCUGCAGUGUGUAGGUGUGUCGCAUGAAUGCUCUCUAAGCUGCUCCCAGGGCUUGAAAGGGGUUAGUUUAACCUCUGGCUUGCUAGUAAAACUGAAUUGCUGUGUCAUGAUGCAUGUUUAAAAAGUGUGUCACCAACAUGAAAAGUUUGGAAAGCUCUACCUUAAUGUAUUAAAAUGCAAUGCUGACCCUAACCUACAGAUUAAGUCCUAGAGAAAGUGGUGUUGCCUCUAUUGAUGGCAACAAAAAGCCUUUCAGCUGAGAGGUUGGUCAUCACAAACUGGGAUGUAGAAGAAACGGAUGCCAGGGUACUACAGAGGAUUGUUUGUUCAACAGACUGAAAUUGAGGUAUGCAGCAGCUUGGGCAACUGUGUGGAUUGGUGUCAGAACCCACACAAUCAUGACCAUGACAGUGACUACUAGAUAUAUAUGUGAAUUGAAGGUGUCAAAAUGUAUUCAAUAUAAUAUUUGAGGAUCAUAUUUUAUCUGCUAUUUUCCUUCUUUUUUGCAGAUUAAAAAUGCAGUAUUCAAACCAUAAA